UGCAAACUGGAGAUGGCGACCGGCGCACGGGUGAGUAACACGUAUCCAACCUGCCGAUAACUCGGGGAUAGCCUUUCGAAAGAAAGAUUAAUACCCGAUGGUAUAAUCAGACCGCAUGGUCUUGUUAUUAAAGAAUUUCGGUUAUCGAUGGGGAUGCGUUCCAUUAGGCAGUUGGUGAGGUAACGGCUCACCAAACCUUCGAUGGAUAGGGGUUCUGAGAGGAAGGUCCCCCACAUUGGAACUGAGACACGGUCCAAACUCCUACGGGAGGCAGCAGUGAGGAAUAUUGGUCAAUGGGCGCAGGCCUGAACCAGCCAAGUAGCGUGAAGGAUGACUGCCCUAUGGGUUGUAAACUUCUUUUAUAUGGGAAUAAAGUUUUCCACGUGUGGAAUUUUGUAUGUACCAUAUGAAUAAGGAUCGGCUAACUCCGUGCCAGCAGCCGCGGUAAUACGGAGGAUCCGAGCGUUAUCCGGAUUUAUUGGGUUUAAAGGGAGCGUAGGUGGACAGUUAAGUCAGUUGUGAAAGUUUGCGGCUCAACCGUAAAAUUGCAGUUGAUACUGGCUGUCUUGAGUACAGUAGAGGUGGGCGGAAUUCGUGGUGUAGCGGUGAAAUGCUUAGAUAUCACGAAGAACUCCGAUUGCGAAGGCAGCUCACUGGACUGCAACUGACACUGAUGCUCGAAAGUGUGGGUAUCAAACAGGAUUAGAUACCCUGGUAGUCCACACAGUAAACGAUGAAUACUCGCUGUUUGCGAUAUACAGUAAGCGGCCAAGCGAAAGCAUUAAGUAUUCCAC
rnacentral:rRNA from 1 species